rnacentral:rRNA from 1 species
UACGGAGGGUGCUAGCGUUGUUCGGAAUUACUGGGCGUAAAGGGCGCGCAGGCGGCUCAGACAGUCAGAUGUGAAAGCCCCGGGCUUAACCUGGGAACUGCAUUUGAUACUACUGAGCUUGAGUACGGGAGAGGAUAGUGGAAUUCCCAGUGUAGAGGUGAAAUUCGUAGAUAUUGGGAAGAACACCGGUGGCGAAGGCGGCUAUCUGGACCGUAACUGACGCUGAGGCGCGAAAGCGUGGGGAGCAAACAGG